rnacentral:rRNA from 1 species
UACGGGGGGAGCAAGCGUUGUUCGGAUUUACUGGGCGUAAAGGGCGCGUAGGCGGCCAGCACAAGUCAGUUGUGAAAUCUCCGAGCUUAACUUGGAAACUGCCAUUGAUACUAUUGGUCUUGAAUUCUGUUGAGGUGGGCGGAAUAAGUCAUGUAGCGGUGAAAUGCAUAGAUAUGACUUAGAACACCGAUUGCGAAGGCAGCUCACAAAACUAUAACUGACGCUGAGGCACGAAAGCGUGGGGAUCAAACAGG